UCCCUGGUGGUCCAGUGGCUCAGACUCUGCAUUCCCAAUGCAGGGGGCCUGGGUUCAAUUCCUGGUUGGGGAA
rnacentral:tRNA from 1 species